AAUAAACAAAUUUUUAAGUUUUUCUAUAGAAUUUUUGAUUCUUUAUCUUAUUUGAAUUUUUUUAAGGUUAAUGUUUUUAUUGUUAUCACAUGAUAAAACAUAACUAGUACUUUACGUGUGACUAUUUUUUUAAAACUUUUUUAUAAAUUUUUUAAAUAAGACGGAUGGUCAAACGUCAAACUUAGAAAACUCGAAAAUGCUCUUUUU
rnacentral:pre_miRNA from 1 species